GUAUUUCCAGUUUUUUUGAAUAAUAAAAUAUUUCAAUAUGAACAUGUUUUAAAAAUUCAGUAAAAUAUGUUUAGGACUAUACAGACUAUUAGAGGGCUUAGUUGAGGAUAACAGAGUUUUCACAGAGAGUACCCUGACACUAAAAUAUUUUAGAUUCAUGUUAUUCCUCUUCUUUAAAUCCUUAUGUAGUGAUUAAAGCCAAGCAAUGAGUGGAUAGUAAGUAGAAAACCAUAUUUUAAAUCCUUUCAGUGAACUAAUAAAAAAUUCAUGCUGUUUUAUAAUACAGUAUGAGCUGAUGGAGAAUUACCCUGGAUUGGCAGGAGGAGGCUAUUCUUAGUAUAAAGCAGCUGUGUUUAUUAAGUAAAAUUUGUCAUUAUAACUGCAAGUAGAUUUUGAUCUAAUUUAUUAUAUCAGAAGUUUUUUUUUAUUAAUCUUUCAAGAUGAGAAGGAAUUACAAAAUGGUACAGUGUAAGACUUAUUUCUCAUUUAAGAAGUAAUUGGUGAAGUGAAUUAAUUUCUCAAUUUGUGUGUUUAGAAAAAAAGCUUGAAACAUAUUUUUUUUAAGUUAAAUAACAUAGUAAUUAUGCCAAUUAAUUCUGUGAUUUAGUGGAACUCCAGUUUGAACUACACAGGGAAUAUGUAAAAUGCAUAGUCAAAUUUAUCAACAGACUUACAUUUUUAUUGUUUUAUUUUGUUUGUUAAUUACUUUGUCUGUUUUGGAAGGAUCUUCAGUUACAUGUACUGGGCUAUAUUAUAAAUAUCUCCUUAUGCUUUAUUAUAUAGAAACUAAAUAAUUAUAGAAUUACCUGACAAAAUACUUAGAUUUUCUUUUGCCUUUUUAAAUCUGUGUUGAUAUAUUUGCUAAUACAAAAUGUUAACCAUCAAGAUAAAAAAUAAAGAAUUACUAAGAUAUCAAUUUAAAAUGUACCAAUAGUAAUGGUAUUUUAAAACCUUGCUUUAUGUGUGUGUGUGUGUGUGUGUGUGUAUGUCAAAAUAUAUAAAGCAAUAAGAAUUAGGGAAAAAAUCAAUAGACUCAUGAUUUUCAUACUUUAAUAAUCAAAAGCUAUUCAUUUAAAAUUUUUUUGCUUUAAGAAUUUGACACAUGCAGCCCUGUGAUUCUUCCUGUGGGAAAGAAUCACUUAGUAGAAAUGGAGUCAACAGAAGAGUCUGAAAUGCAGUACUUGGGUGCAGUCUCAAAAAUGGCAGAGUCAUCUCUGUUUGUUUCCAAGGCAAAUCAUUCAACAUCACUAUAUUCCAGGUCUAUGCUCCCAACCACUGAUGCCAAAGAAGCUGAAAUAGACUGGUGCUAUGAAGACCUACAACACUUUCUAAAACUAACAGUGGGAAAAAGGUAUCUUUUUCAUCAUAGGGAAUUGGAAUGUAAAAGUAGGAAGAUAAGAGAUACCAGGAAUAACAGGCAAGUUUGGCCUUGGAGUACAAAAUGAAGCAGAAUAAAGCUAACAGAGCGUUGUCAAGAAAACACACUGGAUAUAAACAGCACCCUCUUACGACAAAUACAGAGACAAAUUUACACAUAGAGAUCACCAGAUGGUCAACACUGAUAUCAGAUUGAUUAUGUUAUUUUCAGUCAAAUAUGGAGAAGCUCUAUACAGCUGGCAAAAACAAGACCUGGAGCUGACUGUGGCGUAGACCAUGAGCUUUUUAGUGUAAAAUUCCGGCUUAACUUGAAGAAAGUAGGGAAAACCAUUAAACCAUUCAGGUAUGACACAAAUCAAAUCCCUUAUGAUUAUACAGUGGAAGUGAUGAAUAGAUUUAAAGGAUUAGAUCUGGUAGACAGAGUGCCUGAAGAACUAUGGGCAGAGGUUUGUAAUGUUGUUCAGGAAAUGGUGACCAAAAUCACCCCCAAGAAAAAUAAAUGCAAGAAGGCAAAGUAGAUGUCUGAGGAGGCUUUAAAAAUACCUGAGAAAGGAAGAGAAGAGAAAGGCAAAGGAGAAAGGGAAAGAUACACCCAACUGAAUGCAGUGUUCCAGAAAAUAGCAAAGAAAAUGAACAAUGCAAAGAAAUAGAGGAAAACAAUAAAACAAUAGAAUGGGAAAGACUGAAGGUCUCUUCAAGAAACAGAGAUAUCAAGGGAACAGCUCAUGCAGAGAUGGACAUGAUAAAGGAUAGAAAUGGUAAAGACCUAAGAGAAACAGAAGAGAUUAAGAAGAGGUGGCAAGAAUACACAGAAGAAUUGUAUGCUAAAGGUCUUAAUGAUCUGGAUAAUCACACUGGUGUGGUCACUCACUUGGAGUGAGAAGUCAAGUGGGCCUUAGGAAGAGUUUAUUUGAAUUAAAUUAGUGGAUGUGACAAAAUUACAGCUGAGCUAUUUUAGGAUUGUACUAAAAGAUGAUGCAGUUAAAAAUGCUGCACUCAAUAUGUCAGCAAAUUUGGAAAAUUCAACAGCGGUCACAGGACUGGAAAGGGUCAGUUUUCCUUCCAGUCCCAAAGAAGGGCAAUGCCAAAAAAUGUUCAAGUGUGCAAUUAUGCUCAUUCUGUGUGCUAGCAUGGUUAUGCUCAAAAUCCUUCAAGGCUAGGCUUUAAUAGUAUGUGAAUCGAGAGCUUCCAUUUGUACAACAUGGGUUUCAAAAGGGCAGAAGAGCCAGAGAUCAAACUGACAACAUUCUUGUAUAAUGGAAAAAGCAAAGGAAUUCCAGGAAAAAAAAAAAAAAAAGAAUAUCUACUUCAGCUUCAUUUACUAUGCUAAAGCCUUUGACUGUGUGGAAUUGCAAGAAACUGGAAAAUUGUUAAAGAGAAGGGAGAACCAGACCACCUUACAUGUCUCCUGUGAAACAUGUAUGCAGGUCAAGAAACAACAGUCAGAACUGGACAUGAAACAACAGACUGGUUCCAAAUUGGGAAAGGAGUAGGACAAGGCUGUAUAUUGUCACCCUAUUUGUUUAACCUACAUCCAGAUUACAUCAUGUGGAAUGCCAGGCUGAAUGAAUCACAAGCUGGAAUCCAGAUUGCCAGGAGAAAUAGCAACAACCUCAGAUAUGCAGAUAAUAGAACUCUAAUGACAGAAAGUAAGGAGGAACUAAAGAGCCUAUUGAUGAGUGAAAAAUAGUGAAAAAGCUGCCUUGAAACUCAACAUUUAAAAAAAAAAAAAAACCUAAGAUCAUGGCAUCCAGUCCCAUCAUUUCAUGGCAAAUAUUAAUAGAAGGGAAAAAAGUUGAAGCAGUAAUAGAUUUUAUUUUUUUGGAUUCCAAAAUCACUGUAAAUGGUGACUGCAGCCGUGAAAUUAAAGUACACUUGCUCCUUGGAGAAAAAGCUAUGACAAAAACCUAGACAGCAUGUUAAGAAGCAGAGACACCACUUCGCUUACAAAGACCCAUAUAGUCAUAGCUAUCGUUUUUCCAGUAGUCAUGUAUGUAUUUGAGAGUUGGACCAUAAAGAAGGCUGAGUGCUGGAAAUUGAUGCUUUCAAAUUGUGGUGCUGGAGAAGACUCUUUGAGAUUCCCUUGGACAGUACAAUAAUCAAAACGGUCAAUCCUAUAGGAAAUCAACCCUGAAUAUUCAUUGGAAGGACUGGAUGCUAAGCUGAAGCUUCAAUACUUUGGUCACCUGAUGGGAAUAGCCAACUCUUUAGCAAAGACUCCGAUACAGGGAAAGAUUGAAGACAAAAGGUGAAAGGGGCUGCAGAGGAUCAGAUAAUUUGAUAGCAUCACCCGCUUGGUGGAAUGAGUCUGAGCAAACUCCAGGAGAGGGUAGAGAACAGAGGAGCCUGGCGUGCUGUAGUCCAAGGGAUUGCAAAGAGUCAUACUGCUAAGUCGCUUCAGUCAUGUCCGACUCUGUUUGACCCCAUAGACGGCAGCCCACCAGGCUCCGCCGUCCCUGGGAUUCUCCAGGCAAGAACACUGGAGUGGGUUGCCUUUUCCUUCUCCAAUGCGUUAAAGUGAAAAGUGAAAGUGAAGUCACUCAGUCGUGUCUGACUCUUUGCGACCUACCAGGCUCCUCCAUCCAUGGGAUUUUCCAGGCAAGAGUACUGGAGUGGGUUGCCAUUGCCUUCUCUGAAAGAGUCAUACAGGACUUAACAAUUGAACAACAACAAUAUUUUGAAGAUCUUGUGAGACAAUAUACAUGAAAAUACCUUGUGAUCAUACAGUACUGAAUAUUGGUAACAUUUAAAAAAAAUAUCAGUUGGAUAAGCUUUUUUGUGGAAAUGUUAGGAACUGACAUUUUUUUGUUCUUUCUUAACAUUGACCAGUAGACAGCUUAGAAUGAUACAAUGAUUCUCUUCUCAUAUCAGCAAUUAAAUGAUAAGUACAUUUCUCAAUUCUUAUAUGGCAAUAUCUUUGGGAAUAAGAAUAAUUAGGUCCUAUUUCAUGCAUAAACCAUACCAGUAAAAUUAGAUCAUAGGAUAUUAUCUUUGGGAAUAAGAUGGUAUAAUUAAGUCCUAUUUCAUGACAUGUCCUAUUUCAUGGACUUCCCUGGUGGCUCAGAUGAUAAAGCGUCUCCCGCAUUGCAAGCAGACACUUUGACCUCUGAGCCACCAGGGAAGCAGGGCAGGUUCUAAAGCAGCUUGGGAAAUGGCUUGAGCGGAAACAAGGAUGGGUGACUGCCAUUGAAUUUUGUGAUGGUUAACAAGUAGGCCUAAGAAAAUUGGGACUGUAUGCAUACAGGCCUGGGUGUUUGCAUAGUUGUAACUGCAAGCUGGCACCUAAGGAGAAGGUACCCAGGUUUCCUUAUCAGCUUGCUCAUUUGUGAGACAAAAGGGAAACAAGUGAUAGGAUUUGCAAGCUAUCAUAUCAAAUAUGAAAAGUAGAACUAAUUCUAUUACAAUGAUGUUUUCCCCUGAAAAGAUUGUCCCUAAUCCCACCCCAGGAAAUGACUGUAUAACUGAGUGUAGUAUCUUGGCUGAGUGUCCUGGGUAAAGAAAUGUAAAUCCUGAAAAAAAAAAUCAAUCAAUUAUUACCAUCUUCAUUCUCAUCAUUUACAUUAUAAAAUGAGUCCAAAUCUUAACUCUUCCUUUCCCUGGCUUGACCCACAUUGGGUCAUUUUUUGGGGAAAAUAUGACCUAUUACACCCAAUGUGGUGGCCCCCUCCCCAAGGAAUCUUCCCAACUCAGGGAUCAAACUUGCAUCUCUUAUGUCUCCUGCAUUGAUAGGCAGAUUCUUCACUGCUAGUGCCAACAGAUGAGCAAUUUAAGAUCCAGAGAAUAUUAGGAAGCCAGGGAAAGGAAGAGUCAAGAUUUGGACUCAUUUUAUAACUUUAUCAGAUUUCAAGCUCAGUUGUUACUUUAAAAACAGUUAUAUUUCUGUUUUGUGUUCUUUAAAAAUUUAUUUUUUAAUUGAAGGAUAAUUGCUUUACAGAAUUUUGUUGUUUUCUGUCAAAUGUUCUGUGCUUUUUUUUUUUUUCCUCUAGUCCACAGACAGAAAGCAGAAUAAAUUAGCAAAUCAAAUGCAGAGAAUAGAGUGUAGGUCACCAGAGAGGAAGGGUCUAGGGGAUGGGGAAAGGAUAAAAUGGUAAAAGAGAUCAGCUAUAUGGUGAUGGAUGGAAAGUAACUUUUUGAUAGUGAGCACAAAAAUUUCAGAAAUUGAAAUAUAAGUACACAUUAAAUAUGUACAAUAUUAUAAACCAAUGUUACCUCAAUAAAACAUAAAUCUAAAAAUGUUUCAUAAUUUAAGAACAAUUAUACAAUUGUUGCUUAUUUUAUGUAGCUUACGUUGAAAACAUACAUCUUUUAUGAAAUUUUACUAUUUUCUUCUAUAUUUAUACUAGAAUUAUAGUGACUAAAAAUAAGGGAAAUUAUUUUACUUGGCAAGAAAUAUGCAACUGUUGGGGAUCUUUUAGGAAUAUCCUCAAUGGGAUUUGCAUGACCUCCUCUUUCUAUUAUAAAUCACAGUUUGAUUGUGUCAGUAUCUUCCUGUAGAGCCUUUAAUGGUUUAUCUCAACCUGUAGAGUCAAGCAUAAAUUUAUGUCUCUCUAAAUUUACAUAAGUCUUGUUUUUAAAAUUUUUAAAAAUCAGUCCUUAUAUUCAGUGUGACUUUAUUGAAACCUUUGUAUAAGCCUAAAUUUCUAAGAAAGUGAAGUAGAGGGAACCCACCAAAUAUAGCCUGUUGGAAUGUACAUAAUGAUUCAAAAUAUUAUUCAUGUUAUAAGAUCCAUAUCCUUAGUUCCGUUCAGUCCAGUUCAGUUCAGUCGCUCAGUCGUGUCUGACUCUUUGUGAACCCAUGAAUUGCAGCACACCAGGUCUCCCUGUCCAUCACCAACUCCCGGAGUUCACUCAAACUCACGUCCAUCGAGUCGGUGAUGCCAUCCAGCCAUCUCAUCCUCUGUUGUUCCCUUCUCCUCCUGCCCCCAAUCCCUCCCAGCAUCAGAGUCUUUUCCAAUGAGUCAACUCUUCGCACGAGGUGGCCAAAGUACUGGAGUUUCAGCGUUAGCAUCUUUCUUUCCAGAGAACACCCAGGACUGAUCUCCUUUAGAAUGGACUGGUUGGAUCUCCUUGCAGUCCAGGGGACUCUCAAGAGUCUUCUCCAGCACCACAGUUC
ensembl:lncRNA